rnacentral:rRNA from 1 species
GCAGUCGAACGCUGAAGCCGACAGCUUGCUGUUGGUGGAUGAGUGGCGAACGGGUGAGUAACACGUGAGUAACCUGCCCCUGAUUUCGGGAUAAGCCUGGGAAACUGGGUCUAAUACCGGAUAUGACCAAUCCUUGCAUGAGGGUUGGUGGAAAGUUUUUCGAUCGGGGAUGGGCUCGCGGCCUAUCAGCUUGUUGGUGGGGUAAUGGCCUACCAAGGCGACGACGGGUAGCCGGCCUGAGAGGGCGACCGGCCACACUGGGACUGAGACACGGCCCAGACUCCUACGGGAGGCAGCAGUGGGGAAUAUUGCACAAUGGGGGAAACCCUGAUGCAGCGACGCAGCGUGCGGGAUGACGGCCUUCGGGUUGUAAACCGCUUUCAGCAGGGAAGAAGCGAAAGUGACGGUACCUGCAGAAGAAGUACCGGCUAACUACGUGCCAGCAGCCGCGGUAAUACGUAGGGUACGAGCGUUGUCCGGAAUUAUUGGGCGUAAAGAGCUCGUAGGUGGUUGGUCACGUCUGCUGUGGAAACGCAACGCUUAACGUUGCGCGUGCAGUGGGUACGGGCUGACUAGAGUGCAGUAGGGGAGUCUGGAAUUCCUGGUGUAGCGGUGAAAUGCGCAGAUA